rnacentral:rRNA from 1 species
GAUGAACGCUGGCGGCGCGCCUAACACAUGCAAGUCGAACGGCACCUAUCUUCGGAUAGAAGCGAGUGGCGAACGGCUGAGUAACACGUGGAGAACCUGCCCCCUCCCCCGGGAUAGCCGCCCGAAAGGACGGGUAAUACCGGAUACCCCGGGGUGCCGCAUGGCACCCCGGCUAAAGCCCCGACGGGAGGGGAUGGCUCCGCGGCCCAUCAGGUAGACGGCGGGGUGACGGCCCACCGUGCCGACAACGGGUAGCCGGGUUGAGAGACCGACCGGCCAGAUUGGGACUGAGACACGGCCCAGACUCCUACGGGAGGCAGCAGUGGGGAAUCUUGCGCAAUGGGGGGAACCCUGACGCAGCGACGACGCGUGCGGGACGGAGGCCUUCGGGUCGUAAACCGCUUUCAGCAGGGAAGAGUCAAGACUGUACCUGCAGAAGAAGCCCCGGCUAACUACGUG